rnacentral:rRNA from 1 species
GACGAACGCUGGCGGCGUGCUUAACACAUGCAAGUCGAACGGAAAGGCCCUGCUUUUGUGGGGUGCUCGAGUGGCGAACGGGUGAGUAACACGUGAGUAACCUGCCCUUGACUUUGGGAUAACUUCAGGAAACUGGGGCUAAUACCGGAUAGGAGCUCCUGCUGCAUGGUGGGGGUUGGAAAGUUUCGGCGGUUGGGGAUGGACUCGCGGCUUAUCAGCUUGUUGGUGGGGUAGUGGCUUACCAAGGCUUUGACGGGUAGCCGGCCUGAGAGGGUGACCGGCGACAUUGGGACUGAGAUACGGCCCAGACUCCUACGGGAGGCAGCGGUGGGGAAUAUUGCACAAUGGGCGGAAGCCUGAUGCAGCAACGCCGCGUGCGGGAUGACGGCCUUCGGGUUGUAAACCGCUUUCGCCUGUGACGAAGCGUGAGUGACGGUAAUGGGUAAAGAAGCACCGGCUAACUACGUG